AUGUUCAGUGUCAAUCUAUCCAUCUCCGCACAACCCAAUAUUUUCUGAAUUAUAUUUUCAUCGGGAGGGGUGUUCUCAUUUUUCCAAUAUUGCGCAAAUACAAUUCUCGCUGCUGUCAAUACAUGUAGCAUUAAGUAUAUAGUCCCUGUGUCAUAGCUUUCUGGUAUUAUACCGAACGAAAAUCUUUCUGGCUUUAAAUCUAUAUGCUGCUUAAUCAUCUUUUCCAACCGUGUUAUGUAUUUUCGUCUGAUAUUUUCUUGCUUUCAUACACAUCCACCACAUAUGAUAAUAAGUACCUGGAGUCGGAUUGCAUUUCCAACAUUUGGCGGACAUGCUAAACAUUUUUGCUUAAUCUUGCAGGUGGUGAGUGAGUGAAUACAAGUCUAAAGUCAUUAUACUAUACGCUGUAGGUAGCCAUGGAGAUGGCCUUGAAGAGAAUAUUCAGAUGUCGUUCACAAAAGCAAGCCAAAGCAUUUCUUCAGCCCUGGGAAAGGAGAUAGUAUCAGGAAGAGGCGCAGGAUGUUUUCUCCCAACUAAAGGAGCCAGUUUGGUCUAUCGGUUAAGGCAUUGGGUCAGCAGAUUGCCGAAGCCUCGUAGCCCCCCCGGGAGGAUAAAUUUAAACCUGGUCUAAUUCGAUCGACGGCGAGAGAGGAGCAGGAAGUCCUUGCUCGGUCCCAAGUCCUAACGGAAGGAAGGAAGGAAAGAAGGGAAGGAAGGAAGGAAGGAAGGAAGAAGGCAGUCAAUAGGUGAGAUUAAAUUCAAACAAGCAUCUUCUUUUGGCAGCAGCAAUACUGCCAAACCUGGAACCCCCAUCCUGCAGAGCCUGUGUCCGUCCGUCCGUCCAUUCCCUCCCCCCCCUCCGUUUUGCAAGCCUGUUUGAAGUUCUGCAUCAUCCCUGCUGCCCUUCCGAGAAGCAAACCGAUUACGCACUUCAUCAGCAUCCAAAAUUACUUUCUCAUCUCAGCUGAAGCAGAAAAUUAUAAUUACCUCCCCCCCCUCCCCAAUGGGAAGCAAAGAAUUCUGGAGAAACAGAUAAAGCGGCUAUUUUUAGCUCUUAAGAAAAAUGACA